UACGUAGGGUGCGAGCGUUAAUCGGAAUUACUGGGCGUAAAGCGUGCGUAGGCGGUUCGUUAAGUCAGCUGUGAAAGCCCCGGGCUCAACCUGGGAACUGCGGUUGAAACUGGCGAACUAGAAUCUGGCAGAGGGGGGUGGAAUUCCACGUGUAGCAGUGAAAUGCGUAGAGAUGUGGAGGAACACCGAUGGCGAAGGCAGCAUCCUGGACCGGUAUUGACGCUGAGGCGCGAAAGCCAGGGGAGCAAACGGG
rnacentral:rRNA from 1 species